GCCGCAGUUUCCUGUGCUAAGGUAGCGCAAUAACUUGCCUUCUAAUUAAAGGAUCGUAUGAAAGGACACAUGACUUUCUUAUUUUCUCAUAUAUUUUAAAAUAAAUUUAACCUACAAGUAAAAAGACUUGUAUUAACAAGAAAGACGACAAGACCCUGUAGAACUUCACUAUUGUUAAACUGGGGUGGUCAACAACAAAAGCUUAUCUUCCCAAACCACACAAAGACCUGAAACUUUCAACAAAAGAACAAGUUACCUUAGGGAUAACAGAGUAAUUCCUCUCUAGACCUGUUCCAAAGAGGAGCUUUCUACCUCGAUGUUGAAUUUAAUAUUACUUCAUAAAUAAACAUUAUACAAGUAGGUCUGUUCGACCUUUAAAAUAUUACAUGAU
rnacentral:rRNA from 1 species